AAACAAAAAAAAAAGUAAGGAUAGUGAGCGUAGAAAAGGAUGGCAUUAGAAAGAACAUUGUCAAGUUAUGGAACCCAGAAGUACAAGACCUAGAGUAGGUCAUAAUUGAUGUAGUGUUUGGAGCAUGAAUCUAGAGCUUAGAGUUACAGGAUCUGGAUUAGACCUUAUCUAUUUUCUACUCCCAAGGUAGGAUAAUGGGGUAAUGACAUAAGAACCCUUUUGGUUAUUGACAGUAUAAUGGAAAUUAAGUGAGGUGUGCGACCAAAGUAGGU
rnacentral:misc_RNA from 1 species